rnacentral:rRNA from 1 species
GAUGAACGCUGGCGGCGUGCCUAAUACAUGCAAGUCGAGCGAACAGACGAGGAGCUUGCUCCUCUGACGUUAGCGGCGGACGGGUGAGUAACACGUGGAUAACCUACCUAUAAGACUGGGAUAACUUCGGGAAACCGGAGCUAAUACCGGAUAAUAUAUUGAACCGCAUGGUUCAAUAGUUAAAGACGGUUUUGCUGUCACUUAUAGAUGGAUCCGCGCCGCAUUAGCUAGUUGGUAAGGUAACGGCUUACCAAGGCGACGAUGCGUAGCCGACCUGAGAGGGUGAUCGGCCACACUGGAACUGAGAAACGGUCCAGACUCCUACGGGAGGCAGCAGUAGGGAAUCCUCCGCAAUGGGCGAAAGCCUGACGGAGCAACGCCGCGUGAGUGAUGAAGGUCUUCGGAUCGUAAAACUCUGUUAUUAGGGAAGAACAAAUGUGUAAGUAACUAUGCACGUCUUGACGGUACCUAAUCAGAAAGCCACGGCUAACUACGUG